rfam:Cladophialophora immunda strain CBS 83496 unplaced genomic scaffold supercont1.3, whole genome shotgun sequence.
AGUUCCUUAGUGUAGUGGUUCAUCACAUCUCCUUUACAACACCCCGUCUCUCUACUGUAGAGACAGGGAAUGGCAGCGGAGAAGGUCAUGGGUUCGAUCCCCAUAGGAACUA